UCUAAGGAGCCUCAUGUGCCUGCGAUCAUGGUGGUUGUGGGUGUUGUUGUGGGGUUUUUAGUGGUUCGCAAUGUGAUUGGCUGGCAUGCUGUUGGGGUGUGGGGUAACAGGCCCUGGCCACCCAUGCGCAAGUUUUCAGGCUGUUUGUUUGGGUUUGUGUGUGGUGUUGGUGUGGUGGUUGAGAAUUGUAUAGUGGAUGCGAGCAUCUUUUGGUUUUUGUAAGUGUUUAAGGGCGUUCGGUGGAUGCCUUGGUACACGAAGCCGAUGAAGGACGUUGUAGCCUGCGAUAAGCCUCGGGGAGUUGGCAUACGAGCUGUGAUCCGAGGGUGUCCGAAUGGGGGAACCUGCCUGGAGUUGUUUCUGGGUACCGCCACCUGAAUGUAUAGGGUGGUUGGGGGUGA
rnacentral:misc_RNA from 1 species